CGUGAUCAGAGCUCUCAUAGGGAUGCUGAUCUUGUGAGAACUUUAACUUUUGCAAAAGUUUUGUGGAAAAUGAAUACUAAAGUCUGCCCGAAGAAACAGAGAGAGGGGGGUGUUGUUCUGUAUAUUAAGAACAUAAAAAGAGCCUGCAGGAUCAGGCCUAUGACCCAUCUAAUUCAGAGUCUUUUUUAAAAAAUAUAUAAAUUCGCCAACCAGAUGCCAAUGAGAAACUGAUUGUAAUCAGUUUGCAAGGGUGUUCUUUGGAAAUUUGGGGUGCCCGAGUGUGAAUAUAGUAAUGGCCAGUAAGCUGCUAGGCAUUGCAGGUGUUCCAGAAUCUAUUGCACCAGACAAAGAGUAGGAGUUGAUUGGCAGACAAAUUAGAGUCAGGUGGAUUGUCUGGGGAAAAGAGGUUUUUGAGCGUCGUUGUUCUAUGUGAUUUUCUGUCUUAGGAGUCCCUGGUUCAGCAAAACAUUUAAGCUCAUGUUUAAUUUAACUUGCUUAUGUUUUUUGAAUUAGGACUACUUAGCAAUGAAGCUGAGUCCCUCACACUAUUAGGAUGCUAGAAUGUGACUUGUUAUAUUUCUAAUAUUGUAUUUAUACAUUUACAUUGCACGACAAUCUGGAUUUUUUGAGGUGCCAUGCCAUUUGUUGUAUAGAUCCAGAAAGCGUUUUUUCUCUCCCACAAUUUAUAUAUAAAAGGGAGCAGUAAUUAAAGAUAUGCCAAGAAAUAGCAAGCUUAAUUGGCUCUUUACAAAAUAUUGUAAAAUUAACCUGUCUCGUGGUGGUCUUAGUGUCUGAGAGAUGCAGUAGUUAUAGCAAAAAAUAAAAAAGGAAAGCAACAGCAUUACUGAAUGGUGCAAUAUUGCUUUUCUAUUAAACAAAGGGCUAUCUUGUUGAAGAAAAGUAUAACCCACUGUGAAGAAUAAUUUUGCAGCAUCUUACUAGCAAGUCUGUACAGCCAGAACUUUUAGCCAAUCUAAUAGGUUUCCAAAAUGUGUUGAGGGUACAUAAAUUUGAAUAGGGAUGUAAUUUGAAAAUCCAUUUCAGAGAGGGAUUUUUCUUCUCAUUGUCAGUUUCAAUCCUAUUCUCAGGGCCAUAUGUCCCACAGGAAAGGAAGGUUAACUAGUAUUCUAGUCCUGAAAAAGUCUUGUCUUGUAUGUCAUAAACUGGUCUCUGCCUAGUUCCGGCAUUUAGACAACAUUAAGGUAGCUUAAAAUUUGCUGGUUUCAAAUCUGCUGGUUUCAAAACAUACUUUGAAUUGACCCACAGUCCUAGAUAAUGAUUAUUUGUUUUUAACCACAAGACUGAAGGUUUUUCAAACAUCAUAAGGAAUGAUCCCCCCCCUUACAUUCUUCAAAAGAAAAAGAAAAAUUGCUAUCUAAAACCCCUAAAGUUAGCCAGAGAUUAAAGAUCCAGGGAGCAGGUUAUCUUGUCGUUUGCUUUUUCAUUUCUUUUUUAACCAUUGAUGUUCUAUUGUUAUGGAUCUGGAGGAAGCUCAGUGUGAAGACAAAAAUUCAAGCUAUAUCAGAAAGCCCUGUUUAGGGAUACAGUAGUCAUGCAAUUCAGGUUAUCAAUAUCAUAUACCUUAAAAUGCACUCAAAUUGUACAAAGGUGGCAGUACUUUGCAUCAGGUGAACAGAUUUCUGGUGGGGGUGGAGAACAGAGGCUAACGUACAUUAAAAAUCCACUACAUUUAGCAAAGCAUUAGUAUUAUCACAGUCUCCAUUCAUUUCAUGGGGGCUUGUGCAGGGGUCCGACACAAUCAAACAUUGAAAUUAAUACAGCAGUGGUAGAUGGCAGAUUGUUCCUGCCUUCCCCUACGUCUUCUCAUGUCAAAAUAAUUGAACUUUUUAUCUUCUGUUGAAUGAUCCUUGUGGUAUUUGUUUAUUUGUGUUUAUGUGAUAUAAAAUGAGAACCUGGAAGAAAUGCAUUGAAUUAUUUCACUCUUAGCUUCUGCGGGUUGUAUAUAUUAGAUCUAGUAGACGCUUUGACAGAAGCCUCUUUGAUCCAGUAAAGGUUUUCCUCAGCAUGUCCAAAAGGAAGGAUAUUUUCACAAUUCCUUCUCCCUCCCUGCAACCUACCCCCAAAUCUGCUCCUGGGGGUUGUGAGACACCGCUUCCCCCCAGAACGGCCUGUGAGGUGGAACGUGGGAUCUGCUGGAUGUAAUUGGCAAAAACUGCCUCCCUCUCCUGUUCCAUUAGUAGAAGCCAGUGCUGGAUCCAAGGGGUUUCUGUCAAUGAAAAAUCACCACUGAAUACAACACUAAAUCUUUCAUGCCAAUCACUAUGGGUGGUGGUCAACUCAAUAACUGCACAAGCAGAACAACUUGCACAAGAUGACUUUCCCCCUUUCUUCCCCACAGGCCCCCUAAAUCUGGGGAGUUCCCCCAACCCACUGGAGCAGAUUUGGGAAUGGCACGAAGGUCACACAGGGGGACAGAGGUGGGUUUAGGGGAGAGCAACUGGGUUGGUCACACUGGAGGCAGAGUUGGAGGCGGUGCCACAACUCUGAUGUAGAAUGGAAGAUGAGAGGUGGGGCGCCUAAUAUUGGUGUUGCACAGGGACCCACUGAAAUUUGAGACCCCAAGGUCCACUAUUGAGGGGGAAGACGAGAAGUCAUUCCACUUGCACAGCUAUUUAGCUGAAUACCACCCUAUCUUCCAUGUACUUAGUCAAGCUUGUGGCUUAAUUACACAGGUGGAGCAAAUUAAUGAACACGAUCUGUUGUAAUUGUCAAGCUCUGAUUAAUAUAAUAUAAUUAAUAUUAUUUGGAUUAAUAUAAUAAAAGCUUCCUCGGGUUGCAAUAAUGGCACCAGUCCAUCUUGACAAAGAGUAGCACGGCUAAUUAUAAUUUACAGUGGAUUCCCCACCCCCUCCAUAAAAAAAGGAACUUUGUUUUGCUCCAGAAAGGUGGUCAUUUUCUUUUAAAAGUGGAGGGUAGGGGAGAAACCAUUUUGUUCUUAGCAAAUAAUAUGUAUCUGAAGUCUGGGAUCCUAAGUUCAUAUUUGGAAAUAAGUUUCAAAUGAAAUAGUAGAGCUGAUUUUCAGACAAAAUUGGUAAGGGCUGCAGCUCCUGUCAUUUGUUGGGAAUAAGUAUUUAAAUAUAUGCUUUAAUGUCAACAAGACAAACUAUAGACUGUUAAAAAGUUGAGGCUAAGAACCUGAACUGCAUGCUUUCCGUUUUCUUAAUCGAGAUUCUCUUUAAAUGUUUAAAUGUAGAUGUUUUAAUCAGAUUCUGAUGUUGUGGAAAUAUCUUGGUUCUGACUAAGGUGGUAUAGGCCCAGUUUGAAUGCAACAUCGCCUGUUUUACAAACCAUAGUUUGUGAAGACAGGAACAAGGGUCAGGCCUACAUACUCUUCCCUGUCCCCUCCUCUUGAGCAUUGGCUUCAGUGUGGAGAUCUUGGUUUGCUUUUAAAUCAGAGCUCCUUGUGGUGUCCAAAACAGGAAACUGCUUUAAUAUCAGUUUACUAACAGAGGUGUUAAAUCAUAAGACAACCCUGGGUGCCCUGUCUGAAUCCGACCUACUUUUUGGUUUUUGACAGACGUGGCAAAGUUGCAAGCUGUACAAAUGUUCAACCUCUCUCAAGGCCAGCUCAGUGUGUAAACCUCACUAAACAAAUCAAGGUUAGCCUGUGAGGGGAAAGUUUGCCUGGCUCUCUACAAGCUUGGAAACCUAGGCUGUAGUCUACAGAGCUACUUUUCUGAAGUUCUCUUACAGAUUUUUGCUGAACUUUUCUAAGAUUUUCUGGAGUAAAGGAUAUCUAGCAGAGAUUUAUAGCUCCAAUCACUGUUGAAUGUCUAUGCUAAUUCAACUUUUAUCUCCUGUUUCUGUCUCAUGUCCAUCUUUGAGCUACGUUGCAGCUUAUAGAAGCUUUGACUUAUUUGCGAAUUAUGUUCCUAGCCUUCACGUGUGAGAAGUUAUGUUUUAAUAUGCAUGUUCGUCAGGUUCAGAGCUUUCUAGAAGCGAAGUGUAAGAGAUUUCCAUACCCUUUUUCUCCCUGUCAAGAUUGUAUUGCUGCUGAAAAUGUAUAAUUUUAGUGAAUGUUGGAGAGGCACAUGGUACAAUAAUAAGCUUUCUUUUUUCGGGGGAAAAGCUAAGUUCCAAAGUGUACAUGGAAUACAUGUUAUCAAGCACACUUGGUAAGCGCAAAAGCACUAGUUUAUAUUUAAGAAAUUGACAGUACAAUCCUAACCAUGUCUACUCAGAAGUAAAACUUACUGAAUUCCAUGGGGCCUAUUCCCAGGUUAGGAUUGCAGCCUAAUAUGUCAAUCUUAAAUAUUUAAUUCAUGUGUUGAGUUUGGUUUUCUAGGGAUUACUUGUUCUAUAAAACUGCAGCAUAUUUAUACUAAAGAAAAAAACAACCUGUUAACAAAAGGCUCAUUGGGAAUCCCCUAGUUUGGGGAAUAUCACUUUAAAUUGAACUAGUGGAUUCUGAUAACAAAAAAAAGGUUUCAAGAAGGAAAUGUAGUUAAUAUUAUUCAGUUACUUCAGGGGUGGGGGAACCUUUUCCAGACCCAGGACCACGUCCCUUUCUGGGAAAGUUCCCAGGGGAGAAUGGGAUCUGAGGCAAAAAGCAGGCAGAGCAACAAAUGUGAAUUUUAUCUUUGUACAAUAGGCUAGUUUCUACACAGACACUCCUCAUCCUAUAGUCUCAAUCUAGACAAACUAGAAGCACUAUCAGAGUUCAAGGAUGCAUUCAAGGCAGAAAGAAACACUCAGAGGUAGGGCCAGCGAGGGGGUGUAGCCUGUGGAAAGUCCUGAGGGACACAUUUGGCUCCCACACCUGAGGUUCCCUGCCCCGGAAUUACUGCUUCCACAGUUAACGUUUGCAGGAAAACUGUGUUUUGAUUUAUGUCUGCUCCCAGAAGAAUCUAUGGAUUUUAAUGAAUGUAUCUGUAACUGUAAAACUAUGCAUUUUUCAUAAGAACAUGUGUUACGUUAUACCUUUGCAGAAAUCUUCCUAAAGGUCUACUAAAAUGGUUAAAUGCCGCCCAUGGUGAAUUGCUCGAAUUUCCAUUCUUGGCACACUUCAAAUUCUGCUUUAGAGGGACGAAAAGGAAUGGCGUCGCGGAAGAAAUGUGUAUUUCUCUCCCUCUAGGUCAGGCUUCCUCAACGUCGGCCCUCCAGAUGUUUGAGACUACAAUUCCCAUCAUGCCUGACACUAGUCCUGCUAGCUAGGGAUCAUGGGAGUUGUAGGCCAAAAACAACUGGAGGGCCAAGGUUGAGGAAGCCUGCUGUAGGUAAUGCAGUUUUAAGACAAAGGGAAAGCAAUUGAACUGCUUUCAUUUCCCAUUUAUUUUUAGGCAGGAGACAUGGGUGUUUGUCGGUGAGCCUUAACUCUGAGGAGGUUAAGUGGUGUUUGCAUUGGGCUGUCCAUUCUACAUCCUGCUCUAUCAGUGACUGUGUACAUUCAGCCCUGUGAGUGGUUACUUGAAACUGGUUGCCAUAGAGAGUUGGGCCAGUCUUCCCCACACCGAUGCCUUCAAUAUAUUUUAGACUAUGACCACCUCCGCCAACUCCAGCUAGUGUUGCUGUGCUGGGUAGGAUUGUUUGGGGAGGAAUAGUUCAAAAUAUCUGGAUGGGCAUGAAGUUGAGGAAGUCUGGGUUAAGUGGUUUUGAUCUUUUCAAAUACCGCCAGCCAACUUAAGAAGUAACUUUUGAAAACCUAGUCAAGAUUCUGAAUAUGCCAUUGUAACGGAGCAGAGUUGCAGAGUAAAAAUGGUGUUGUUAAAUUUUAUUUUUUACUGUAGUGCUAAUGAGUUAAAAUCCUGCCAUAUUUUAUUGUAAACACAGUGCCAAAUAUUUCCUUUUGCCUGAUUAACAAUACAAUUUUAGGAAAACUAGCAUCCGUCCAAAACAGGAUGAAAGUCUCUUGCUAGUCUCCUAGGACUCCAGUUAUACAAUAUGAUGUUCUUACAACUGGGGAUCUAUGCAGAUUUGGAGGAAUCUGCCUGCAAACAUCAUACUGAAGGGCUGAGCCUUGAACAAUGCGCAGAUAGAGCUACAAUUACUACAUUACUAGAGGGCUUUUUCACAGUAGUAUAUUGUGCUCCCUGUGCCAAGGAGGUGACUUUAGGUUAGCCUCAGAUUAGAGUCAAGCAUACCUCGGAGCAGGGAGUGGAAUUUCGUCCACCAAAAUUUAGCACGAGUCUAUCUGGGGAAUAACUGCAGCCUACCUCUAGUCUGACACGGGGACAGGAGGCAACUUAUCCCUAGGUGAAUGCUGCAAAAUUUACUAACGUGUUUCAGAACCUGUAAGACUAUGUCAUAUGCCUGCGGUUUCACUUCCACUGGAAUCAAUGGAGCUCCUUCCAAAGAAUGCAAUGAGAGUGAGUCAUCCUUUGGUUUUCAGGAGGAGUUUCUUUUAUUGUCUGUUUUAAUAUGGGGAAUUCACUUUAUAAAUAUUUGACAAAGAGAGCUUCCAAUUUUGGCACUAAUGGAAAUACUGGAUACUUUUAAUAUAUAUUUAGAAGGUUAUUUGAAAAGCAAAAUGUUCUGUCUUUUUAUAUAAUUUUUAGCCAGAUACAUAUACUCUGAUUACUACUUCUGUGGAUUCCUAUCAGACUGUAAGUGCAAAAAAAAUAAAAUAAAACUAGUUCAGGUUUCAAAACCCAGGGGGUAGAGGACAGGGGAACUGACUGUUUUGAAGUGCUUUGCUAGUUUUUGGUAUAUUGUGUGUUUGUAUAUAAAUAUAUCUAUAUACAUUAUAAAGAUAUAUAAAAAUAGGUCUGUAAGGUUAAAUGUUUUGUGUUUUUAUCGCUGUACUCUAAGGAAAUAAAAUGUGUUUUGUAUUACUUUAUGAAUUAAUUACAAAAGGCUUUAUGCAUUGAUCAAAAUGUUUUCUAGCUAUUUUACACCAGAAGUUUAUAAAUAACUCUAAUCCUAUGUAAAUUCACAACACUGAGUUUAGAAGUGGAAUUUGAGAUUUUUAAGCUGGCUCUGAUGGAUGGCACCAGAUAAAAUGCACUUUCUUUGUGGCAUGUAAUGUAUUUUGCUCUCAAUGGGCUUUAAAACAAAAGACCACAACAUGUUUACAUCUUUUCUUGUGCCCUCCUCUUCCCCCCUUCCUUUAUAAUAAUUGCAAAAAAAUAAAAUAUUUCCUCUUGGAGGGGGGGGAAGCAAACAAAUAUCUGAGUUACUGAAGUAACAUUGUUCAAGAACGGAUUGUUUGGAAUAGAUUAGUAUGUUGGUUUUAAAAAACAAAUCAUUUUAGUGAUGGUCUUCAGUAUGUGAGCUCUGCUUUGUGAUGUUUGGUUGUGACAAAUAUGCUGUUGCUUAUCUAGUCUAAAUAUCAUUGUUUUCUUGUAUUUUACUGUUAAUGGCUAUUCCAUUAGUUGCACUUGCUUGAACUGAGUCAGAAGACUCAGAAGAAGUCUUGCGGAACUAUUGAGACUGUUAUGAUGUCCAGAAACAUUACUUAAAUGCACUUAUAAUUGAUUUACUACCAUGCAGUAUGUUGAACUGUUUCAUGUAAUAAAGGCAUUUGUUGUAUAAA